ACAACGAAAGCCACGGACCGGUAAAAAAAACAAAACAAAUUGACCGCACCUUUCCUCAUUCUCACCUCCAGGCCAGGCGCAUCGCAUCCUCCGCCUCCUCCCGCACCGGCCCUUCAAUCCCAGCUCGUCCGCACUGCUCGCCUCGCCCGCGCGCUCUGCGCUAGCGCCAUCGCCACAGCCACCGCGUCCGCCUCAGCCCCCGCCCCCAUCAAGUGUCAGGGGACUUCCCGCCGCGUGCUGCUCGGACUCCUUAGCGCCGCCAGGUCGCCGUCGAUCCCGGUGAGGGGUGGCCACCGAAGGUGCCGAGAUUGCUAACAGGGCGGAUUUGUACGUGGAGGGGCCUUCGGUGGCCGAUGGUGGGACGCUAAACGAGGAUCUGCUUCUCGGACCUUCGGUGGCUGCACAUUUGAAUGAGGUGUUUGGUAACACGGAUCCCAUCUGUCAUUAGGUUUUCAUCAGCAUGAAUAAUAUUAUGUGUGUCCUGGAGUGAUUAUGAUAAAUGCUUUUGUUCUAAGAUCAUGAACUCCUAUAUAAGAUUUAGGUUAGCUGUCACAAUGCCUUGUUAUUAAUUCGGUGUGGGAAAUGAUACACUGCUGCACAGGUUACUAGCACUUGUGAUACUGAACUAUAAUUUAGGUAUGGGAUGUCAUAAGAAUUAUCCUAGCUAUCGAAUUUAUUGUUCUUAUAAAUGUCAUGCCCAAUUUAAUUCUGUAUGAAUGCUGCUGCUGCGUGAUGUUGCUGCUAUGUGUACAACGAUCAGUAUAUAUAUCUAACAAGCACCAAAAUGGUUAUGACUUUAUAUUACAGCACCAAAAUACACUUACAGUAUCCAGGAUGUGACCACAUAGUCACGACUUUAUAUUAGGACCACCAUAGUCAUGACUUUAUAUUACAUCACCAAAAUACACUUAUAGUAUCAAGGAUGUGACCAAAUAGUCAUGACUUUAUAUUAUGACAACCAUAGUCAUGACUUUAUAUUACAGUGCCAAAAUACACUUACGAAUUUACAUGUCGUCAUGUGCAUGAUUAGUGUCCCAAGGAUGCGACCACAUCCUCAUAUAGCUGUCGGUCAACACAAAGGCUUGUAGGAAGCAUGCCUACCGCCUCCAGCUUGUCUUUGUCCAUGUGAGGAAUUUCAUAUCUGUUUCCUCCUCUAUCUUUCAUGACCUCAAUCAUACACCCUUGUAGUGUUAGGAACACCCUAUUCAAAGUAUCUGGAUCAUAUUUAUCAAACUCAGUUUUGACAUUCUGAAUCAAGUCAUCCAAGUUCCUAGAGAUCCUUUCAUAGGUUAAGGACUGAAGAGAAGCAAAGAAUCCUAGGUCUAGCACAUUCAAAUCUGGAGAAUUUGCAGGUUGGUUGACGAGUCGUAUGUCCAGCCCUGUUUGUGCUACAGCCAUAGCAAAUUCUUCGUCAUCUACUGGCACAUGUGAAGGGGCGUUGUCUUGCUGAAUGUAUAUGGUUUGUCCUCUAAGUUCUCGUGGCCACCGUCGCAUAAUUGCUUUUAGAACUUUGCCAAUCAGGUAUGACCUCAUAGUUCUUCGAUCUACAUUAAUAGGCUUAGUGACUUCUGUCCCUCUCCCCCUAUUACGGCUUCUUCUUUUUGCUUUUUCCUACAGUCAAUGAAAACGAUUAGUAAGGAUCAAAAGUGUUAGCAUAAACUAAUGUAGCAUAGUGAAACAAGAUGAUGUCGUACCUUUCUAACAAAUGGCCACAGUCCUAUCUUCCCAUCAAAGAGGCAAUUACCUGCACCAUCGUAUAGAGGUCUUCCUAAUGCUGACAAGACCAUAACUUUGCCAAUACGAUUCUUAUUUUGUACUGUCCUAUGUGGGUUGUCCUCGCCUGGAAGCAUAUAAUACUUUGCGUACUUCGAUGUGGUGUUGAACCACUUCUCGUCCAUGUGGAUGAUGUUUUGCAUUGCACUGAACUUGGGUUCAUGUGGUAGUGUCCGCUGAUCUAGCAUUGCAAGACACCAUUGGAUCCUCUCUCUUUUGUUUUGUUCUGUCAAUAGAGGCUUUAGUGUGCUAGAGUGGCGUCGUAGUAGCCCUUCCUUGAACCUGUUAUGCAGAGUGCUCUUUCUGACACCAAUUUCUUUUGCUAGAGAUCGAAUAGUGCUUCUUUUAUGCAACGGAACACUAAGAACCUUAGAUAGGUCUAUUUGCAACUUUUUGCGGCCACAUCUCUUAGGCUUUCUUGAUCUAACAUCAACUGGAAUUCCUUGGGCACGACAUUUUUUUGCUCGCUGCCAAAUGCGUUGCACUUUAUACCUGCUCACCUGGAAUAAUUGUGCUACAUUAGUUGUAGCUUUCCUUUUUAGUCUUCCAUGAUCACUUCUGAGAAGCAAUGCUUCAUAAAUUUGUUGUCGUUCAGUAUCUGUUAAAUUUCUAGACUGAUGUGCAUUGUUUUCAUUUGCAUGGUGAUCAACAUCCGAGUCAUCCAACUCAUCUUCAUCAAAGAUUAUGUCCAUAGCGUCAGCGUACACACCAUAGUCAUGCAUAUCCUCCAUCAAUCCUACAAAAAAAACAGGUCAGAAGGUUCAAAGUUAAUAUCAAAUUCAUGUGGACCAUCAAAGUUGAGACAUGCAGGCUGUGGAUGCACUUCCUCUACUCCAAUUGCUGCAACUUGAUGCAAUGAAGAGAAAAAGAUCAGCUUCAUGAUGUUCUUGUUUUCCCUCCAAAGCAUCAACAUUAAAAUCAAUGACAUGCAUACCAAACAGUUCGUCGUGACGAAGAUGUAGGGGCUCACCUUGUAGAUGGGCUUCAGCUUCAUAAAGUUGAAUAUCCUGGAGAUGAGCCAUCUCAUCUUCUUCCUCAUAUGCAGGUUCUGCGUUGAGAUCAGGUGCUUCAUUGAGAUCAUGUAAGAGCUCUCCAUAUUGAUCUGGAAGAAUGUUGAGAUCAGGUAAAAGCUCUCCAUGUUGAUUUGGGAGAACGUUGAGAUCAAUAGGCAUGGCUGAUAUGAAAAUGGGUUGUGACUGAUGCGGUACGAGGGAGUGCUGCACUUAUAUGAGGGGGAUUGGUUGGCAAUAGGCGGGAAAGGACUUGGUUCAUUUCAAAUUUGGACCUGCGCGGGCUUCAACGUCAGCCACAAAUUAGCAUUGAGGGAAGCUAUACUUUUUUUCUUGAGGACACGUGUGUGGCACUAGAGUUUUCCAGGCCAAACUGUGGCACUCCUUUUGUAUUGACACGUGUAUAGCAUAGGGACUCAUGGCUGUAAUUUUAUAUUCUAUUUUUGUACACCGUCUGUAACCUAAGCUGUAAUCUGAACUUGUGCAGAUCAAUUUUAGAGGGAUAUUUUGGUCAUUUGGCAA